rnacentral:ncRNA from 2 species
UGGUUGGCUUAGUUGCUCGGUUCUGGUGGGGAUCAGCCAUCAGACGUAAGGGGGAAAGUGCAGUGUGAAUCUGCCGCUGUCCCGCAGCUGUGAGGAGAGAUCUCACUCUCUAAGUCAGAAUGCCCGCCGAGUGGUCAACCCGAUA